CUGAGAAACCCUACCUUUCAGCCGACUGGUCUCCACUGUAACGAGCCGCACACCUCUGCCGCAAAGCCGGACAUCCUUCCCCAGCAUGCCAUGAAAGAGCCGCGAUGAACACCUGACAGCCGGCAUGCAGCAGUGGCUGGAGAGGCGCACGGAGGACACCCCCGAAUAGAGACUCACAUGGAUGUCUUGCCUGAGUGUCCCGCUGAACUACACCUGCAUACUAUGGGCACUACACAGGCAAGAUCCAGCACCCAUGAUGAACUGACCAC